rnacentral:rRNA from 1 species
UACGUAGGGUGCAAGCGUUGUCCGGAAUUAUUGGGCGUAAAGAGCUCGUAGGCGGUCCGUCACGUCGGCUGUGAAAACCUGGGGCUCAACCCCGGGCCUGCAGCCGAUACGGGCGGACUAGAAUUCGGUAGGGGAGACUGGAAUUCCUGGUGUAGCGGUGAAAAGCGCAGAUAUCAGGAGGAACACCGGUGGCGAAGGCGGGUCUCUGGGCCGAUAUUGACGCUGAGGAGCGAAAGCGUGGGGAGCGAACAGG